rnacentral:rRNA from 1 species
GAACGCUGGCGGCGUGGAUAAGGCAUGCAAGUCGAACGCUACCUUCGGGAAAGCGUGGCAAACGGGUUAGUAACACGUCGGAACGUGCCCCAAAGUUCGGCAUAACCCCGCGAAAGCGGGGAUAAUACCGGAUGUUCUCUUUUGCGGAAACGCAACAGAGCAAAGGGUUUACUCGCUUUGGGAGCGGCCGGCGGCUUAUCAGCUUGUUGGUGAGGUAAAAGCUCACCAAGGCUAUGACGAGUAGGGGGUCCGAGAGGAUGUUCCCCAACAUUGGCACUGAGACACGGGCCAGACACCUACGGGUGGCAGCAGCCGAGAAUCUUCCCCAAUGGACGAAAGUCUGAGGGAGCGACGCCGCGUGCAGGAAUAAGGCCUUCGGGUUGUAAACUGCUUUUCUAAGAGAACAAUCCCGAUUUAUCGGGGUGAGCGUACCUUAGGAAUAAGAGGUUGCUAACUCUGUGCCAGCAGCCGCGGUAAUACA